UACGUAGGUGGCAAGCGUUGUCCGGAUUUAUUGGGUUUAAAGGGUGCGUAGGCGGCUUUGUAAGUCAGUGGUGAAAUAUGGCAGCUCAACUGUCAGGGUGCCAUUGAUACUGCGGAGCUUGAGUACAGAUGAGGUAGGCGGAAUUGACGGUGUAGCGGUGAAAUGCGCAGAUAUCAGGAGGAACACCGGUGGCGAAGGCGGUUCUCGUGGCAUUACCUGACGUGAGGAAGCGAA
rnacentral:rRNA from 1 species